rnacentral:rRNA from 1 species
GACGAACGCUGGCGGCGUGCCUAAUACAUGCAAGUUGAGCGCUGAAGGUUGGUACUUGUACCGACUGGAUGAGCAGCGAACGGGUGAGUAACGCGUGGGGAAUCUGCCUUUGAGCGGGGGACAACAUUUGGAAACGAAUGCUAAUACCGCAUAAAAACUUUAAACACAAGUUUUAAGUUUGAAAGAUGCAAUUGCAUCACUCAAAGAUGAUCCCGCGUUGUAUUAGCUAGUUGGUGAGGUAAAGGCUCACCAAGGCGAUGAUACAUAGCCGACCUGAGAGGGUGAUCGGCCACAUUGGGACUGAGACACGGCCCAAACUCCUACGGGAGGCAGCAGGAGGGAAUCUUCGGCAAUGGACGAAAGUCUGACCGAGCAACGCCGCGUGAGUGAAGAAGGGUUUCGGAUCGUAAAACUCUGUUGGUAGAGAAGAACGUUGGUGAGAGUGGAAAGCUCAUCAAGUGACGGUAACUACCCAGAAAGGGACGGCUAACUACGUG